rnacentral:tRNA from 1 species
GAGCGUAUGACUCAGUGGUAGAAUGUGUACCUAGCAUGCACUAGGUCCUGGGUUCAAUUCCCAGUACUUCCA